rnacentral:rRNA from 1 species
GAUAAACGCUGGCGGCGUGCCUAACACAUGCAAGUCGAACGAUCCCGCAAGGGAGAGUGGCGGAAGGGUGAGUAACACGUGGGAAUCUACCUCCUCGCAGGGAACAACCUCUCGAAAGAGAGGCUAAUACCCAAAAGGGUCAGAAAUGAUCAGAGUCGAAAGGCGUGAGGAGAGGAGCCCGCGGCCCAUCAGCUAGUUGGUGAGGUAAUGGCUUACCAAGGCUACGACGGGUAGGGGAUCUGAGAGGAUGUCCCCCACACUGGAACUGAAACACGGUCCAGACGCCUACGGGUGGCAGCAGUGAGGAAUAUUGGACAAUGGGCGAAAGCCCGAUCCAGCAACGCCGCGUGGAGGAUGAAGGCCUUCGGGUCGGUAAACUUCUUUAGAGGGAGACGAGAAGGACGGUAUCCCUAGAAUAAGCGACGGCAAACUACGUGCCAGCAGCCGCGGUAA